CACGCAGGCGGUCUGUUAAGUCAGAUGUGAAAUCCCCGGGCUUAACCUCGGAACUGCAUCCGAUACUACCAUGCUAGAGUACUGAAGAGGAAACUAGAAUUCUCGGUGUAGCAGUGAAAUGCGUAGAUAUCGAGAGGAAUACCAAAGGCGAAGGCAGGUUUCUUGGCAGUUACUGACACUGAGGCACGAAGGCCAGGGGAGCGAACGGGAUUAGAUACCCUCGUA
rnacentral:rRNA from 1 species